UUCAUCCAUCGAUCCGUCCUGUUCAGGUCUCAGAAUUAGAAGCUGCAGUGAUGUCUCGAGCGGCCAGGUCCAAGUCAAAGGAUAAAAAGGUGAGUAAAGAACCACCCAAAAUUGCUUCAAAGCCUUCUAGUGCUAGUGGAUACAAUCCUCUUUUUGGGACAUUCCAAACAUUUGACCCAGCUCCCGUGACUGCAAAUGCUGCUCUCCACGUCAGUGGUCGUUUCAAAAGCAUUGAUGAGAGAGAUGACCUUAGUGGGCACUCUCAUGGAGCUGGUGGAGAGUAUGAAACUGUUUCCAAUAAUGGUAGCUGGUCUGGUGAGGAGGACCACAAAGAGAAAACUUCUAAUCUUCCUCCCCGACAAGAGAUCUCAGUUGGCACUGAUAAUGACAAGCGGGAAAAAAUCCGUCAGAAAAAUG
rnacentral:misc_RNA from 1 species